UGCAGUCGACGCUUUUUCUUUCCCGGAGCUUGCUCCUCGAAAGAAAAGAGUGGCGAACGGGUGAGUAACACGUGGGUAACCUGCCCAUCAGAAGGGGAUAACACUUGGAAACAGGUGCUAAUACCGUAUAACACUAUUUUCCGCAUGGAAGAAAGUUGAAAGGCGCUUUUGCCUCCCUGAUGGAUGGACCCCCCGUGCCUUAACCAAUUGGGGAAGGAACCGCCCCACCAAGGCACCAAUCCAAACCCAACCUGAAAGGGUGAUCGGCCCCCCUGGGGCUGAGACACGGCCCAGACUCCUACGGGAGGCAGCAGUAGGGAAUCUUCGGCAAUGGACGAAAGUCUGACCGAGCAACGCCGCGUGAGUGAAGAAGGUUUUCGGAUCGUAAAACUCUGUUGUUAGAGAAGAACAAGGAUGAGAGUAGAACGUUCAUCCCUUGACGGUAUCUAACCAGAAAGCCACGGCUAACUACGUGCCAGCAGCCGCGGUAAUACGUAGGUGGCAAGCGUUGUCCGGAUUUAUUGGGCGUAAAGCGAGCGCAGGCGGUUUCUUAAGUCUGAUGUGAAAGCCCCCGGCUCAACCGGGGAGGGUCAUUGGAAACUGGGAGACUUGAGUGCAGAAGAGGAGAGUGGAAUUCCUGUGUAGCGGUGAAUGCGUAAUAUAUGGA
rnacentral:rRNA from 1 species